rnacentral:rRNA from 1 species
AUGCUACCACUAACCGUCCACCUGUCCUUCAUGCGCGGCCACUACUGGGCGGGCAUGAAGGCCAACUGGAUCAUCCUCAUCCACCAAUCCGGUAGUCCGUGGCGUCUCAUGGAUAUCUACACCCACAGACGCAAAUGCGCUGGCCUUCAUGAUUCCAGGACAUGGAAUCAUACCAGCCGGUGGUACCAUAUAACUGGAAUUAACCGAUACAAGUCAAAGAAGGAUUGGCCGGUGCUGCCGACUGGCAUUAAGUUCGAUCCCACGGAUCAAGAGCUGAUCGAGCACCUUGAGGCCCAAGUGAGUGCUGACAGCGCAAGAUCUCACCCUCUCAUCGAUUUGUUCAAACCAACCAUCGGCAGCGAGCACGGCAUAUGCUACACCCAUCCUGCGAAACUUUCAGGUAUCACACUAAGUGGCCUAAGCAAGCAUUUCUUUCAGCGCAAUUCCAGGGCAUUCAAAAGGGACACGUGGACGCGUCAUAAGAUACAGUCGGAGUGUGGCAUGCACGCGAUGUGGCACAACACCGGCAAUACCUUGCCGGUGAUGGUUAACGGCCGGCAGACGGACAGCAAAAAGGUUCUAGUGCUGCACACCAACAAGAACUUCAACCAGCAGAGGGCCAACUGGGUGAUGCACUAG